AUACAAACAGAACGAUACGAGACUUCGACGAUGGCGGUCGGAAAGCAAGUCGUCCGAACUUUUUUUUUAUCAAAUUCCUAGACGGUAGCCAAAUUCAACCGGUUAACAUUUGUAAUGAAGUUGUUCUCGACUUGACAUCGAUUCAGUGUUGUUCGUGGCAGGAAAAGAAGUUUUAAACGGCUGCUCGUAGAAGCAAACGAAGAAACCAAGUCUUGUUGAAUCCAUGAUGGCUCCUUAUUUAAGCCUACUAAGAGUGAAAUUUCUGCAAAGUGGUAGUGCUGUGAGUGAUCUGAAAGAAUUUCAUAAUAGAAAAUAAGUACACGAUAGGUGAUUAUGCAAUGAUUAGUGCACAACUGAGAAAUGAGUAAAUUGCAUAAAAUGUUGGUUCUAUCAGUGAAAGCGACGACGUACGACGAACGUGCGUGCUCGACAUUUCAAAAUGGCUGAAUGAUUUAUUUUGCGUUGUAAUUCGUCGGCGUACGACUGGAGAUUCGACAGCUGUGCUGAAAAAAUGUCUAGACGAAAUAUGUUGAAAAUAAAGAAGUGAUAUGCUGGGGAUUAAAGUAGCCCACAAAAGCCGAUAAGUGAAAUCGAAUUUUUCCAUUCGAUGAGACCAAUCUUAUGGCUUUAAAUAUUGUAUUGUGUCUCUGAAAUAUUCCAUGACGAUCAGGACGACCUCACGCUGCUUUACGAGGUCUUAGCCACACAACUCAGAGGCAUCACACUGGAAUGAUAAUUUGGAUUAGUUUCGAAAAUUUGCAGAGUUGCCUUCAGAACGUUUACGCCGUUUGUAGUAAAUAACGCUUAAGUUCAAUAACAAGCACCUAGAAGAAAAUAGGGCAAUACAGACGACUCAUGGAUAAAAGUGACACCGAAUAGGAGUAUUCUUGAAAUCAUCAUGAUGGAUCAUGAUGAGUAUGAGUAUGAACAUGACGAAACACAAUUAUAUUCAGCAUGUUAAUAAUGAAACCCACAUACCAACCGAACCACAACAUUUUGAACAAGGCUCCUCACUGGAUUCAACUGUACCAUGGAAGUUUUAACGAAGAGUGGCUGAUGAAGCAGCAUCAUAAUUGCUAUCAUAUCGCCGGUGUAAUGAGUAAGCAGAUUGUAAGCCGAAACAAAGGAUGAGCAUAAUUUGACUACAAAUGGCAGUACAAGUCGGUGAAAAACGCGAUCAACCAUCAAUCCGUGCUGCAGAUGAGGCAACUUCGCAGAUUUUGGCACUAUUCAACAAACAACAGGUAGUGGAGAAUGCAUGGUCAGCAUAGCUGCAAGAUUAGGAGAUAAGGUAGGAAAUCGGAAACAGUUCCUGUGUCAAACCAUGUUCUUGACCCAGCAGAUAGAUUUGGAUUUAGUUCUAAGGUCGUUCAGGUGUAGCAAAAAAUAGGUGGCUCGGUAAAAACUGUUUGCAGUAUCGAAAUUGUGUAAGGAAACCUACAAUCGCUAUGUUUUAGGCAUUUUGUACCACAUGUUAAAAUGAUGUUCGUCAUUUUUCAUUUUGUUGGGAAAUUUUCUUAGGAAUUUCGUUUCAAAUCGAUGAAAGGGCUACUUAAUUUUCUCUGAAAGUUUCUUUACUUGCUACUUUUUCGGCAUCAGUAACGGCUUAUGAAUUAGAGUUCGCGUUUUUGGUAUCCUCUUUGGAGCCACCAUAUGUAACGGUCCGCGCCUAAACGGGUUGGAACUGACACCUGACUGUAUUUCUUAUUAUUGCGAUGACCCAGGAUGAUUGUUCCACAAAGCUGGAAGUAUAAGGCUGAUGAAGCCACUCGAGUAUUUGAGAAGUUGAAGUAAACUUUGUAUUGAGGAAAUUGGUUCUAACAUAGCGUUUCUUACGUCUUGAUUCGGUUUAAGAUUAAUUCACAGA